rnacentral:rRNA from 1 species
AGUGAACGCUGGCGGUAGGCCUAACACAUGCCAGUCGAACGGCAGCACAGUAAGAGCUUGCUCUUACGGGUGGCGAGUGGCGGACGGGUGAGGAAUACAUCGGAAUCUACUUUUUCGUGGGGGAUAACGUAGGGAAACUUACGCUAAUACCGCAUACGACCUACGGGUGAAAGCAGGGGAUCUUCGGACCUUGCGCGAUUGAAUGAGCCGAUGUCGGAUUAGCUGGUUGGCGGGGUAAAGGCCCACCAAGGCGACGAUCCGUAGCUGGUCUGAGAGGAUGAUCGGCCACACUGGAACUGAGACACGGUCCAGACUCCUACGGGAGGCAGCAGUGGGGAAUAUUGGACAAUGGGCGCAAGCCUGAUCCAGCCAUACCGCGUGGGUGAAGAAGGCCUUCGGGUUGUAAAGCCCUUUUGUUGGGAAAGAAAAGCAGCAGGUUAAUACCCCGCUGUUCUGACGGUACCCAAAGAAUAAGCACCGGCUAACUUCGUG